rnacentral:rRNA from 1 species
GACGAACGCUGGCGGCGUGCUUAACACAUGCAAGUCGAACGGAAAGGCCCUGCUUUUGUGGGGUGCUCGAGUGGCGAACGGGUGAGUAACACGUGAGUAACCUGCCCUUGACUUUGGGAUAACUUCAGGAAACUGGGGCUAAUACCGGAUAGGAGCUCCUGCUGCAUGGUGGGGGUUGGAAAGUUUCGGCGGUUGGGGAUGGACUCGCGGCUUAUCAGCUUGUUGGUGGGGUAGUGGCUUACCAAGGCUUUGACGGGUAGCCGGCCUGAGAGGGUGACCGGCCACAUUGGGACUGAGGUACGGCCCAGACUCCUACGGGAGGCAGCAGUGGGGAAUAUUGCACAAUGGGCCGAAGCCUGAUGCAGCAACGCCGCGUGCGGGAUGACGGCCUUCGGGUUGUAAACCGCUUUCGCCUGUGACGAAGCGUGAGUGACGGUAAUGGGUAAAGAAGCACCGGCUAACUACGUG